UAGGGAAUCUUCCGCAAUGGACGAAAGUCUGACGGAGCAACGCCGCGUGAGUGAUGAAGGUUUUCGGAUCGUAAAGCUCUGUUGCCAGGGAAGAACGUCCGUUAGAGUAACUGCUAACGGAGUGACGGUACCUGAGAAGAAAGCCCCGGCUAACUACGUGCCAGCAGCCGCGGUAAUACGUAGGGGGCAAGCGUUGUCCGGAAUUAUUGGGCGUAAAGCGCGCGCAGGCGGCUAUUUAAGUCUGGUGUUUAAUUCCAAGGCUCAACCUUGGGUCGCAUUGGAA
rnacentral:rRNA from 1 species